GCACGGUCAUCAGAUAACAGUGUGUAAUGAAUGUGGCCACUGUUUAAAUUUGGGCAGGGAUAAAUUUCUUGCAGUAAAUUUUUCCCCCACAAGUAUGUUUUAUUGCAGAGAUCAAAAGGAGAAACAGUUUAACAUAUGUGCUACAACUGGGAGGAUCUAUUGUUCAUAUUGUGGGGCGACAGAGUUUACAGUGUAUGACAUGGUGGGAAGGUAUGCUACGGGGGAGCCUUUUAUUAGGGCGGUUUCCUCAGCUAACUCCCUUAGUAUUUUAGAUAAUAGCGAACAGGAGUGUGAUAUACUGAUCCCUUGUUUUGGUAAAUCUAGGUCUUGCAGUAUUAAGCUGAGGGCGACAUUUAGGGAGCUACUUUAUUUGACAGCGUCUGUUGAUAAUUUUAUUUGUCAAAAGUGUUCCAAUAAGGGUGAUGAAUAAAGACAGGGUCAAAGCUCCAGCUUUCCACCCAGAGCUCCAUAACAAGCUUUUGGAAAGGCUUAAGGCUGCCUAUGGAAAGGACAGUAUUGGCAAAGACCCAGAAGAAGCCCCAGUUCCCCUGUUGUUGCAUACCUGUGCAGUUAGAUUCUAUGAAGAGUACAAAGAAUUGACACGUGAUAACACAUUGCCUACAUUGGUAAACAAGAAAGGAUUCCCGGGGGAUGCCAAAAUGAUGGACCCUGUCUUGGGUAUCUAUCACUCUGGAAAAAAACAGGGAGCAUCAAGUGUCCCUUCCUCUUCUGGAGCAUUUGACGGAGGGAGCCACGGUGGCCCUCUACCUUCUGUUGAUCUUCCUCAAAGGGAGGGAGGCCUGUGGUACGGACUGGGCCCUGACAAGUCUGGACUGGGUUUUGUGCUCCCCUCUGAUCCAGGGUCUAUGUCUGACGGGAACAGCUUUAGGGUUAUUCCAGACCCCUCAUCUCUAACAGACAAGGAUGACCAGAACUUGGGGGAAUCGACCAAAACAAGGAGUGGAAAUGGAAAGAAAAAGUAGACCCUUGACCAAAGACUGUUAAAUGUAAAGCUGUUUUAUUCUUUUUAGAGUAGACAGCAUAUAUGAUGAAUGGUCGUGUACACUUUUGAUUAUCUUCUCAAUAAAUAAUAAUACAUUA
rnacentral:tmRNA from 1 species